rnacentral:rRNA from 1 species
CCUACGGGAGGCAGCAGUGGGGAAUAUUGGACAAUGGGGGCAACCCUGAUCCAGCCAUGCCGCGUGUGUGAAGAAGGCCCUCGGGUUGUAAAGCACUUUCAGUGAGGAAGAACGCCUGGUGGUUAAUACCCAUCAGGAAAGACAUCACUCACAGAAGAAGCACCGGCUAACUCCGUGCCAGCAGCCGCGGUAAUACGGAGGGUGCGAGCGUUAAUCGGAAUUACUGGGCGUAAAGCGCGCGUAGGUGGCUUGAUAAGCCGGUUGUGAAAGCCCCGGGCUCAACCUGGGAACGGCAUCCGGAACUGUCAAGCUAGAGUGCAGGAGAGGUAGGCAGAAUUCCCUGUGUAGCGGUGAAAUGCGUAGAGAUAGGGAGGAAUACCAGUGGCGAAGGCGGCCUACUGGACUGAAACUGACACUGAGGUGCGAAAGCGUGGGUAGCAAACAGGAUUAGAUACCCGAGUAGUC